AUGAAGGGGGGCCAUUACAAGAAGGAGAGCCAUGUGCUGCUCUACAGUCAGAGAGAUAGGGUGGGAUUUCACAGGCUAGCAGCACAUGCUCUCACCACGCUGAGAGCUGAAAGAUGUAUAGUACACGUGUGUGUUUGCAGUAGAAGGCCAUGGCGUCUUGGGACUGUCGCUUUUGAGGAAAAGGCAAGACAAUAUGAUGACAGAGGGGGGUCUCAGGCCACAUCCACUGCCAGAGAUGCUGUUCCACUUUUUCAAUUGUUUUUUUUUUUUUUUUCCUCUCGCCCUUUGCCCCUGGUGGGAAAGUAUUUAGGACUUUAGGUCUAUGACAAAUAAAAAUGUCAUCCCUGCUCA
ensembl:lncRNA